UUCGGGUCGUAAAGUUCUGUUGUUAGGGAAGAACAAGUACCAGAGUAACUGCUGGUACCUUGACGGUACCUAACCAGAAAGCCACGGCUAACUACGUGCCAGCAGCCGCGGUAAUACGUAGGUGGCAAGCGUUGUCCGGAAUUAUUGGGCGUAAAGCGCGCGCAGGUGGUUUCUUAAGUCUGAUGUGAAAGCCCACGGCUCAACCGUGGAGGGUCAUUGGAAACUGGGGAACUUGAGUGCAGAAGAGGAAAGUGGAAUUCCACGUGUAGCGGUGAAAUGCGUAGAGAUGUGGAGGAACACCAGUGGCGAAGGCGACUUUCUGGUCUGUAACUGACACUGAGGCGCGAAAGCGUGGGGAGCAAACAGAAUUAGAUACCCUGGUAGUCCACGCCGUAAACGAUGAGUGCUAAGUGUUAGAGGGUUUCCGCCCUUUAGUGCUGCAGCAAACGCAUUAAGCACUCCGCCUGGGGAGUACGGUCGCAAGACUGAAACUCAAAGGAAUUGACGGGGGCCCGCACAAGCGGUGGAGCAUGUGGUUUAAUUCGAAGCAACGCGAAGAACCUUACCAGGUCUUGACAUCCCACUGACCGGUAUAGAGAUAUACCUUUCCCUUCGGGGACAGUGGUGACAGGUGGUGCAUGGUUGUCGUCAGCUCGUGUCGUGAGAUGUUGGGUUAAGUCCCGCAACGAGCGCAACCCU
rnacentral:rRNA from 1 species